ACUAUUAUAUAUGAGCUCACGCAAUGCUGGCUACACCAGAUGAGAAGUCCAGAAGAUGGGAAUAUGGCUCUACUGACUUGCCGAUUGCAACUCUUUUCCCUUUCAUGUAUUUCAUGGUAAGGGAUUUUUCAGCAACAAGCAGCUAGAUCAGACAGCAAACAACAUCAAAGGUAUACUAACCACCUAGAAACUACUCCAGGAGCAAAAACUAAAGAUGAUAAAAUAAUGGACAUGAAGACUUGAAGAUGGAGAGCUAAUGAUAAAAUAAUUCAAUUACAUGAAAAUGUCUCCCAUCCAAUUUUUCAUACUUUUAAUUAUUGAACAAUAGUUGUUUUUUUUUAAAAAAAAAAAUUAAGUAAAAGUUGCAUAAAGAGACAUCUUAUGCAUAUAUAACCAUUAGAAUUGCCUUGUUUUGUCAAGGAAAACAAUAUUUGUGAUGUCAAAUGCUAACAGGAUUAUAUCAUUUCUUAAUUUAGACGAUCAAAUACAUGGCCUUAGUCAUCAUGUUAUUAAUAUA